GUGGGGAAUUUUGCGCAAUGGGCGAAAGCCUGACGCAGCGACGCCGCGUGAGGGAAGAAGGUUCUCGGAUCGUAAACCUCUGUCGUAGGGGAAGAAACCCCAGGGUGCUAAUACCAUCCUGGAUUGACGGUACCCUUUGAGGAAGCAUCGGCUAACUACGUGCCAGCAGCCGCGGUAAUACGUAGGAUGCAAGCGUUGUUCGGAAUUAUUGGGUGUAAAGGGCGCGUAGGCGGCUUGGCCAGUCACGGGUGAAAGCCCCCGGCUUAACCGGGGAAUUGCCCGUGAUACUACCAAGCUCGAGUACGGGAGAGGGAAGUGGAAUUCCUGGUGUAGCGGUGAAAUGCGUAGAUAUCAGGAGGAACACCGGUGGCGAAGGCGGCUUCCUGGACCGAUACUGACGCUGAGGCGCGAAAGCGUGGGUAGCAAACAGGAUUAGAUACCCCUGUAGUCC
rnacentral:rRNA from 1 species